UCAAACUUGGUCAUUUAGAGGAAGUAAAAGUCGUAACAAGGUCUCCGUUGGUGAACCAGCGGAGGGAUCAUUACUGAGACUUUAUAUCUCUAUCCUUGUGAACUAUAUACCAUGUGUUGCUUCGGCAGGUCUUCCCUAGGAGGGAAUAGUGCCCGUAGGGGGCAGCCUGCCAGAGGCAAUUUUACUCUUGAUUUUUUUUUUUUGGAUUCUGAGUAUUUUUCAAAAGAAAAAAACUUUCAGCAACGGAUCUCUUGGUUCUGGCAUCGAUGAAGAACGCAGC
rnacentral:misc_RNA from 1 species